rnacentral:rRNA from 1 species
GGGUUGUGAGGUUAAGCGACUAAGCGUACACGGUGGAUGCCCUGGCAGUCAGAGGCGAUGAAGGACGUGCUAAUCUGCGAUAAGCGCCGGUAAGGUGAUAUGAACCGUUAUAACCGGCGAUUUCCGAAUGGGGAAACCCAGUGUGAUUCGUCACACUAUCAUUACGUGAAUACAUAGCGUAAUGAAGCGAACCGGGGGAACUGAAACAUCUAAGUACCCCGAGGAAAAGAAAUCAACCGAGAUUCCCCCAGUAGCGGCGAGCGAACGGGGAGGAGCCCAGAGCCUGAAUCAGCAUGUGUGUUAGUGGAAGCGU